rnacentral:rRNA from 1 species
GACGAACGCUGGCGGUGUGCUUAACACAUGCAAGUCGAACGGUAAGGCCCUUUCGGGGGUACACGAGUGGCGAACGGGUGAGUAACACGUGAGUAACCUGCCCUCAUCUCUGGGAUAACAGUCGGAAACGGUUGCUAAUACUGGAUAUGAGCUUGCAAGGCAUCUUGUGGGUUGGAAAGAUUUUUUUUGGUUGGGGAUGGACUCGCGGCCUAUCAGCUUGUUGGUGAGGUAGUGGCUCACCAAGGCUUCGACGGGUAGCCGGCCUGAGAGUGCGACCGGCCACAUUGGGACUGAGAUACGGCCCAAACUCCUACGGGAGGCAGCAGUGGGGAAUAUUGCACAAUGGACGGAAGUCUGAUGCAGCAACGCCGCGUGCGGGAUGACGGCCUUCGGGUUGUAAACCGCUUUCAAUUGUGACGAAGCUUUUUUGUGACGGUAGCAGUAGAAGAAGCACCGGCUAACUACGUG